GGUGAGAGUAGCGGACGGGCGAGUAACGCGUGAGUAACCUGCCCUUUGCAGGGGGAUAACAUCGGGAAACCGGUGCUAAUACCGCAUAAUACCAUCGAAUCGCAUGGUUUGAUGGUCAAAGCUGCGGCGGCAAAGGAUGGACUCGCGUCCAAUUAGCUAGUUGGUAGGGUAAAGGCCUACCAAGGCGACGAUUGGUAUCCGAACUGAGAGGUUGAUCGGACGCAAUGGAACUGAAACACGGUCCAUACACCUACGGGUGGCAGCAGUAGGGAAUAUUAGAAAUGGGCGAAAGCCUGAUCUAGCAACACCGCGUGUGCGAUGAAGACCUUCGGGUUGUAAAGCACUUUUUGGAGGGAAUAGGAAGGAAGGUACCUCCAGAAUAAGUCUCGGCUAACUACGUGCCAGCAGCCGCGGUAACACGUAGGAGGCAAACGUUAUCCGGAUUCACUGGGCGUAAAGCGCGUGUAGGUGGUUCUGUAAGUAGGGCGUGAAAGCUCCCGGCUCAACUGGGAGAGGCCGUACUAAACUGCAGAGCUAGAGGAUGGUAGAGGGAGGUGGAAUUCCAGGUGUAGUGGUGAAAUGCGCAGAUAUCUGGAGGAACACCAGUGGCGAAGGCGGCCUCCUGGACCAUUCCUGACACUCAGACGCGAAAGCUAGGGUAGCAAACGGAAUUAGAGACUCCGGUAGUCCUAGCCCUAAACGAUGCAGACUAGGCGUCGGCGGUUUAAUCACCGUCGGUGUCCAAGCUAACGCGAUAAGUCUGCCGCCUGAGGACUACGGCCGCAAGGCUAAAACUCAAAGGAAUUGACGGGUCCCCGCACAAGCAGCGGAGCGUGUGGUUUAAUUCGAUGCUCCGCGAAGAACCUUACCUGGGUUUGACAUAACAGUGGUAGAGAAGUGAAAACGGAUCGACCCUUCGGGGAGCUGUUACAGGUGUUGCAUGCCUGUCGUCAGCUCGUGUCGUGAGAUGUUCGGUUAAGUCCGCUAACGAGCGCAACCCGCGCUGUGUGUUACAAGUGUCACACAGUACCGCCGGUAUUAAGUCGGAGGAAGGUGCGGAUGACGUCAAGUCAGCAUGACCUUUAUAUCCAGGGCUACACACACGCUACAAUGGUCAGAACAAUAGGUUGCCAAGCCGCAAGGCGGAGCCAAUCCUCCAAAUCUGGCCUCAGUUCAGAUUGCAGGCUGCAACUCGCCUGCAUGAAGUCGGAGUUGCUAGUAACCGCAGGUCAGCAUACUGCGGUGAAUACGUUCCCGGGGAUUGUACUCACCGCCCGUCA
rnacentral:rRNA from 1 species